rnacentral:lncRNA from 1 species
GAUAAUAUUAAUGAAGAUCUUAAAAUGAUUUCUGUGACACCUAUUGAAUCUUUGUUUUAUAGUAUAAAUCAUGAAAAAUAUGGAACUCGAUAUGAGUCAACUUUAGUUAAGAGGUGUCCCAAUCAUUCGGAGUUUAUAUGUCUUAAUGAUAAGAUUGAUAAAAGUGGGAUGGGAGAGGUCAAAACUUUAAAUAGCAAUGAGCCAACUCUUUCAGAUUUCAAGGAUUUUAAUUAUGAUAGCUUCUAUUUGAUUUAUUG